rnacentral:rRNA from 1 species
UGAGGAAUAUUGCGCAAUGGGCGAAAGCCUGACGCAGCAACGCCGCGUGAGGGACGAAGGCCUUCGGGUCGUAAACCUCUUUUCUGAGGGACGAGCAAGGACGGUACCUCAGGAAUAAGUCUCGGCUAACUACGUG